AACCAAGUUUGUUCUGGGUAUAAGCUAUUGUGUGCAUGCAGACUUCUUCAGAUACCAGAUACCUGAAGAAGUGCAUGCACAUGAAAGCUUAUACCCAGAACAAACUUGGUUGG